rnacentral:rRNA from 1 species
GUGCCAGCAGCCGCGGUAAUACGGAGGGUGCAAGCGUUAAUCGGAAUUACUGGGCGUAAAGCGCACGCAGGCGGUCUGUUAAGUCAGAUGUGAAAUCCCCGGGCUCAACCUGGGAACUGCAUUUGAAACUGGCAGGCUUGAGUCUUGUAGAGGGGGGUAGAAUUCCAGGUGUAGCGGUGAAAUGCGUAGAGAUCUGGAGGAAUACCGGUGGCGAAGGCGGCCCCCUGGACAAAGACUGACGCUCAGGUGCGAAAGCGUGGGGAGCAAACAAAGUUAGAGACCCUGGUAGUCC